UCUUUUAGUAAGGAUUCAUGAACUUAUUUAGUUAGUAGAGAUGGAAUGCUAAGGUAAACUUGUGGUUGAGCUAGCAGAUGUAUAGCAAGAAAUUUAUGACACUGAAAGAGAGAUGGAAGGGGUGUUAAUAGAGGACUGCGUGAAAAGAAUGGUGGUUUUUGCACAAGUAAUUUUGGGUAAAUAUUUCUUUGUUAAAGGGACAUUCUCGAAGUCAGGCUGUCGGAUCCAAAAUGAAGAGGAAAUAAACUUGGAUAAAGUAGAGAGAAGUAAUAUUUUGGAAAUUUCUUUGAGAGCAUCCGACCUUUGAUAGAGACUCAGCACCAUAACAUGACUAAUUUAGUUGACCACAAAUUGAUAAGAUGAGCAUGUUCAACAUUAAAUAAGCAUUCGCUCAUAAAUAUAAGUACUGAUGUGAAGUUAUACAUAUGCUUGUACCUAAAGAGCAUGACACGCACUUGCACAAAUGUAUGCAUUUGUGUGCAGAGAAGUUCAGAAGAAGCUAAGCUCAACUAUUGGAUCCAACAACCAUCCUCUUGUAAACAACAACAAAAUUAUCGUAAGUCUUUCAAGUGCCCAUCUCUUCACAUCGAUCGUACUUCUAUGAGUUGCUUGGUUUGAUGACAUAAAGAUGGUGAUGAUGGAAAACAAAUAGUAAGGCAUGCCAAGAAGUCAUAUUUGGGCCCUAAAAUGACUAUAUAGGUUGAAUUCAGUAAGACUUAACGUGGUUACUGCCUAAGUUGUUCCUUGUUUGAGAAAUUAGAUCGAUCAAAGUUAGAUUUGAGAUAAUGAAACACGUAAUAGUUUUGUAAACAAUAUAUAAAUAUUAUAUACCUAUUUGAUUACCUGACUGAGAAAUCAUAUCAAAGUCCAAUUUGAGAAAAUGUAACCCGAAAUAGGUUUGGAUAUUGUAAGUAAAUAUUAUAUGCAUCUAUCUUGGUCUGGUGAAAUAAAGAUGGUGAUGGUGGAAAACAAG
rnacentral:lncRNA from 1 species